rnacentral:rRNA from 1 species
UACGGAGGAUGCGAGCGUUAUCCGGAUUUAUUGGGUUUAAAGGGUGCGUAGGCGGAGUGCCAAGUCAGCGGUAAAAAUUCGGGGCUCAACCCCGUCGUGCCGUUGAAACUGGCGCCCUUGAGUGGGCGAGAAGUACGCGGAAUGCGUGGUGUAGCGGUGAAAUGCAUAGAUAUCACGCAGAACCCCGAUUGCGAAGGCAGCAUACCGGCGCCCGACUGACGCUGAAGCACGAAAGCGUGGGUAUCGAACAGG